CCUCCAGCCACACAGGCACUUUCUCCCAACACCUUCACAUGGAAUCCUUAACCAUUCCCACCCCCAAGCUGCUGGGAUGCUCUCAGGAGCCCCUCCCUGAUGGACCACUGGAUAUGUAAGCUGAGCACAAAAUGAGGUGGGAUGUGCUGCCCUCCAGCAGUUCUUGUCCCUGCUGCAAACCAGUGCUGGAAACCCUCCCUUAGCCUGCUUUCUACUGGCCUGAAUGGGGCUGCUAGGAGACUGGACUGUGGUUGCUAUGGGACCAAGGAUGUGGUUUCUGCAGGACCGGACUGCUGUUGCUAAGGGACCUGGUCACAUCUCCCUGCAGCUGACAGGGACAAGCAGGUUCUCCAGUAAACAAAGAAAUGAGCUUGCUGCAGCUCUCAUUAGUCAGGAACAAAUCUUGGAGCACAGAGAGCCUCAUUAGCAGCAGUCAGCCCAUCUGGGAGAGGUAAAUCCUCACCUGUGUACCAAAGGGAGGAGGAGGCAGUGCUGGGUGAAUUCUGCCCACGGUCACUUCCAGCAGCAGAGGAGUGUACUGUGAACCAGGGCCAGGUGGGUAUCUCACAGAAGAGGUAUAGCUACAGGACCUGAGCUGGAGGCUCCCACUGGUGAUGGGGUGGCAGUCUGUGUCCCUAAGGUGAGAUGUGCCCUUGAGCACAACAGGGAAGAGGCUGACAGAGCUCUAAUCAAGGAGAAGGAGCAGCCCCAGGUGAGAGCUCCUGCAAAAUGAAGCCCAUGGACCCCUGGGGGAGUGCGCUCGUCCCUCUGCUUCCUUAAAAUCUGCCCUGGGCACCUUCUCUUCACACCUUCUUGAUUCAGUGAGGAAUAGAAAAAGUCCUCGGGAUCAUAAAUGCCAAGCUGCUGCUGCUGUGCUUUUAGGUAAGGCCAACAUCAGCCAAUCCUUCAUGCUGUAUUUGGCACCAAGAUUUGCCAAGGGCUCUGGAAAUGGGGCCAAAGACACCACAGGGUAUGUGAACACCUGGGGAAGGGGACACACUGCCACACUUCUGCAUGAAACCCAUCUAGCAAACCUUGUGAGAAACCAGCGAGUCUGUGCAAGUGACCAAAAGGCAGAAACCAUUCAGGAAACCAGAACUGGGACCAAAGAAGUUGAGAAGUCUUCAUCAUUGGUCCAAGACACCUCCUGGACAAGGCUGUGAACAACUCCACCUAACUACUGAGCCUGCUUUUCACUUGAGAUCUCCAGAGCUCCCUCCUGAUCCAAGUUACUUCAUCAAGACCAGCUGGGCUUUGCAUGGAUCUUCCCUACUAGUCCAGGAGAUGCCUCCUCCAGACAGAUGUGGGGUGAUACCAAGUUCCUGAAGCCCCGCAUACAAGCAUGGGCCAGAGCAUAGCUUCCCUGUGCAGCCUGGGGUAGCCAGGGCUCCAUGCAUCCCCUGCAGGUGGCAAGUGGGAACACUCAGAACUCAGGAGGGACUAAACCUGGGCACAUUACAGCAGGCAGCUCGGCAAAGACCUCCCUGGAGAUGGUUUUACCAAAACUGAAUGGGUCUAUAACACCCAGUUCUAAGUGUUUCCUUAAUCUGUGGUGCUGGAUGUCUGUUAAGGGAUGCAGGAUGACCCACAUAUGUGCAGUUCCCAUAGACGCACAUGCCAAUGGAACCAGGCACAGGAAUUAGCCCCACACUGCCCACAGAGCACUCCAACAGCUUCAACCUGGCAAACUGAAGAACAGGAGAAGGCUUUGAUUUCAACUUGGGAUCGCUCUGAUCGUCACAC